GAUGAACGCUGGCGGCGUGCCUAUUACAUGCAAGUCGAGCGAACAGAUGAGGAGCUUGCUCCUCUGACGUUAGCGGCGGACGGGUGAGUAACACGUGGAUAACCUACCUAUAAGACUGGGAUAACUUCGGGAAACCGGAGCUAAUACCGGAUAAUAUAUUGAACCGCAUGGUUCAAUAGUGAAAGACGGUUUUGCUGUCACUUAUAGAUGGAUCCGCGCCGCAUUAGCUAGUUGGUAAGGUAACGGCUUACCAAGGCAACGAUGCGUAGCCGACCUGAGAGGGUGAUCGGCCACACUGGAACUGAGACACGGUCCAGACUCCUACGGUAGGCAGCAGUAGGGAAUCUUCCGCAAUGGGCGAAAGCCUGACGGAGCAACGCCGCGUGAGUGAUGAAGGUCUUCGGAUCGUAAAACUCUGUUAUUAGGGAAGAACAAAUGUGUAAGUAACUAUGCACGUCUUGACGGUACCUAAUCAGAAAGCCACGGCUAACUACGUG
rnacentral:rRNA from 1 species